CCCGUAGCUCAGUGGUUAGAGCGGUCGGCUCAUAACCGAUUGGUCGCAGGUUCGAUCCCUGCCGGGCC
rnacentral:tRNA from 1 species